GACAGAGGGUGCAAGCGUUGUUCGGAAUUACUGGGCGUAAAGGGCGCGUAGGCGGUGUGGUAUGUCGGAUGUGAAAGCCCUGGUUUCAAGCUAGGAACUGCAUCCGAAACUGCCACACUUGAGUCUUGGAGAGGGAAGCGGAAUUCCUGGUGUAGAGGUGAAAUUCGUAGAGAUCAGGAGGAACAUCCGUGGCGAAGGCGGCUUCCUGGACGAUGACUGACGCUGAGGCGCGAAAGCGUGGGGAGCAAACAGGAUUAGAUACCCGUGUA
rnacentral:rRNA from 1 species